rnacentral:rRNA from 1 species
CCGGGUUUGACAUACAGGUAGUAGGGAACUGAAAGGGGACCGACCCUUCGGGGAGCCUGAACAGGUGCUGCAUGGCUGUCGUCAGCUCGUGUCGUGAGAUGUCCGGUUAAGUCCGGUAACGAGCGCAACCCUUGCCGUAUGUUACAAGUGUCAUACGGGACUGCCGGUAUCAAGCCGGAGGAAGGUGGGGAUGACGUCAAGUCAGCAUGGCCUUUAUAUCCGGGGCUACACACACGCUACAAUGGUCAGUACAAUAGGUUGCAAAGCCGCGAGGUGGAGCCAAUCCAUAAAGCUGGCCUCAGUUCAGAUUGCAGGCUGCAACUCGCCUGCAUGAAGUUGGAGUUGCUAGUAACCGCGCGUCAGCCAUAGUGCGGUGAAUACGUUCCC